rnacentral:rRNA from 1 species
AUUGAACGCUGGCGGCAUGCUUUACACAUGCAAGUCGAACGGCAGCACGGACUUCGGUCUGGUGGCGAGUGGCGAACGGGUGAGUAAUACAUCGGAACGUACCCAGUAAUGGGGGAUAACUAUCCGAAAGGAUAGCUAAUACCGCAUACGCCCUACGGGGGAAAGAGGGGGAUCGCAAGACCUCUUGUUAUUGGAGCGGCCGAUGGCUGAUUAGCUAGUUGGUAGGGUAAAGGCCUACCAAGGCAACGAUCAGUAGCGGGUCUUAGAGGACGAUCCGCCACACUGGAACUGAGACACGGUCCAGACUCCUACGGGAGGCAGCAGUGGGGAAUCUUGGACAAUGGGCGCAAGCCUGAUCCAGCAAUGCCGCGUGCGUGAAGAAGGCCUUCGGGUUGUAAAGCGCUUUUGUCAGGGAGCAAAUCCUUGUGGCUAAUACCCACCGGGGAUGAGAGUACCUGAAGAAUAAGGACCGGCUAACUACGUGCCAGCAGCCGCCGUAAUAC